GACGAACGCUGGCGGCGUGCUUAACACAUGCAAGUCGAACGGGAUUUAGUAGACAGAAGCUUCGGUGGAAGAUUACUAAUGAGAGUGGCGAACGGGUGAGUAACGCGUGAGCAACCUGCCUAUGACAGUGGGAUAGCCUCGGGAAACCGGGAUUAAUACCGCAUAAAAUCGUAGAAACACAUGUUUUAACGGUCAAAGAUUUAUCGGUCAUAGAUGGGCUCGCGUCUGAUUAGCUAGUUGGUGAGAUAACAGCCCACCAAGGCGACGAUCAGUAGCCGGUCUGAGAGGAUGAACGGCCACAUUGGAACUGAGACACGGUCCAAACUCCUACGGGAGGCAGCAGUGGGGAAUAUUGCACAAUGGGGGAAACCCUGAUGCAGCGACGCCGCGUGAACGAAGAAGGUAUUCGUAUCGUAAAGUUCUGUCCUAUGGGAAGAUAAUGACAGUACCAUAGAAGAAAGCUCCGGCUAAAUACGUGCCAGCCGCCGCAGUAAAAC
rnacentral:rRNA from 1 species